rnacentral:rRNA from 1 species
GUACACUCCUGCGGGAGGCAGCAGUGGGGAAUUUUGGACAAUGGGCGAAAGCCUGAUCCAGCAAUGCCGCGUGUGUGAAGAAGGCCUUCGGGUUGUAAAGCACUUUUGUCCGGAAAGAAAUCCUUGGCUCUAAUACAGUCGGGGGAUGACGGUACCGGAAGAAUAAGCACCGGCUAACUACGUGCCAGCAGCCGCGGUAAUACGUAGGGUGCGAGCGUUAAUCGGAAUUACUGGGCGUAAAGCGUGCGCAGGCGGUUUGCUAAGACCGAUGUGAAAUCCCCGGGCUCAACCUGGGAACUGCAUUGGUGACUGGCAGGCUAGAGUAUGGCAGAGGGGGGUAGAAUUCCACGUGUAGCAGUGAAAUGCGUAGAGAUGUGGAGGAAUACCGAUGGCGAAGGCAGCCCCCUGGGCCAAUACUGACGCUCAUGCACGAAAGCGUGGGGAGCAAACAGGAUUAGAAACCCUUGUAGUCCC